UGAGGAAUAUUGGGCAAUGGGCGAGAGCCUGAACCAGCCAAGUCGCGUGAAGGAAGAAGGUUCUAUGGAUUGUAAACUUCUUUUGUAAGGGAAUAAAAAGUGGUACGUGUACCAUAUUGUAUGUACUUUACGAAUAAGGAUCGGCUAACUCCGUGCCAGCAGCCGCGGUAAUACGGAGGAUCCAAGCGUUAUCCGGAUUUAUUGGGUUUAAAGGGUGGGUAGCCGGACCCGUUAGUCAGUGGGGAAGGU
rnacentral:rRNA from 1 species